UACAGAGGUCUCAAGCGUUGUUCGGAUUCAUUGGGCGUAAAGGGUGCGUAGGCGGCGCGGUAAGUCGGGUGUGAAAUCUUGGAGCUUAACUCCGAAACUGCAUUCGAUACUGCCGUGCUUGAGGACUGGAGAGGAGACUGGAAUUUACGGUGUAGCGGUGAAAUGCGCAGAUAUCAGGAAGAACACCCGUGGCGAAGGCGGCUCUCUGGGAGCGGUACUGACGCUGAGACGCGAAAGCGUGGGGAGCGAACAGG
rnacentral:rRNA from 1 species